GAUGAACGCUAGCUACAGGCUUAACACAUGCAAGUCGAGGGGCAGCAUUUUAGUUUGCUUGCAAACUGAAGAUGGCGACCGGCGCACGGGUGAGUAACACGUAUCCAACCUGCCGAUAACUCCGGGAUAGCCUUUCGAAAGAAAGAUUAAUACCGGAUAGCAUACGAAUAUCGCAUGAUAUUUUUAUUAAAGAAUUUCGGUUAUCGAUGGGGAUGCGUUCCAUUAGUUUGUUGGCGGGGUAACGGCCCACCAAGACUACGAUGGAUAGGGGUUCUGAGAGGAAGGUCCCCCACAUUGGAACUGAGACACGGUCCAAACUCCUACGGGAGGCAGCAGUGAGGAAUAUUGGUCAAUGGGCGCGAGCCUGAACCAGCCAAGUAGCGUGAAGGAUGAAGGCUCUAUGGGUCGUAAACUUCUUUUAUAUGGGAAUAAAGUUUUCCACGUGUGGAAUUUUGUAUGUACCAUAUGAAUAAGGAUCGGCUAACUCCGUGCCAGCAGCCGCGGUAAUACGGAGGAUCCGAGCGUUAUCCGGAUUUAUUGGGUUUAAAGGGAGCGUAGGUGGAUUGUUAAGUCAGUUGUGAAAGUUUGCGGCUCAACCGUAAAAUUGCAGUUGAAACUGGCAGUCUUGAGUACAGUAGAGGUGGGCGGAAUUCGUGGUGUAGCGGUGAAAUGCUUAGAUAUCACGAAGAACUCCGAUUGCGAAGGCAGCUCACUAGACUGUCACUGACACUGAUGCUCGAAAGUGUGGGUAUCAAACAGGAUUAGAUACCCUGGUAGUCCACACAGUAAACGAUGAAUACUCGCUGUUUGCGAUAUACAGUAAGCGGCCAAGCGAAAGCAUUAAGUAUUCCACCUGGGGAGUACGCCGGCAACGGUGAAACUCAAAGGAAUUGACGGGGGCCCGCACAAGCGGAGGAACAUGUGGUUUAAUUCGAUGAUACGCGAGGAACCUUACCCGGGCUUAAAUUGCAACAGAAUAUAUUGGAAACAGUAUAGCCGUAAGGCUGUUGUGAAGGUGCUGCAUGGUUGUCGUCAGCUCGUGCCGUGAGGUGUCGGCUUAAGUGCCAUAACGAGCGCAACCCUUAUCUUUAGUUACUAACAGGUCAUGCUGAGGACUCUAGAGAGACUGCCGUCGUAAGAUGUGAGGAAGGUGGGGAUGACGUCAAAUCAGCACGGCCCUUACGUCCGGGGCUACACACGUGUUACAAUGGGGGGUACAGAAGGCGGCUACCUGGUGACAGGAUGCUAAUCCCAAAAACCUCUCUCAGUUCGGAUCGAAGUCUGCAACCCGACUUCGUGAAGCUGGAUUCGCUAGUAAUCGCGCAUCAGCCAUGGCGCGGUGAAUACGUUCCCGGGCCUUGUACACACCGCCCGUCAAGCCAUGAAAGCCGGGGGUACCUGAAGUACGUAACCGCAAGGAGCGUCCUAGGGUAAAACUG
rnacentral:rRNA from 1 species